rnacentral:lncRNA from 1 species
UAUUAUACUUUAAGUUUUAGGGUACAUGUGCACAACGUGCAGGUUUGUUACAUAUGUAUACCUGUGCCAUGUUGGUGUGCUGCACCCAUUAACUGGUCUGCCAUUUUUACCCUUUGUCUAUAUUUCUAUUACUGAACAGAUACCACAGUAUAUUAAUUUCUGUAGCCUUAUAAAAUGUUUUGAUAUUAGGUAGAAUAAUCAUCCUAUCUUGUUUUUUUUCUUUCUUUUUGUUUUCAAGUUUUCCUGUUUUAAACUUCUGUAAUUUUAAAAUUGAGAUUCAGUAAGUAUUCAGCUCAAUUUAGGGCCUUGAGCUCUAUCCAGGUCAUUGUAUGUGUCAAUAAUUUCUUCUUUUUAAUUCCUGAAUAGCAUUCUAGUGUCUAAUUGUACCAAAGUUUGUUUAUGCAUUUGUACUGAAGGACAUUUGUGUUGUUUAUAAGUUUUGCUAUUACAAAGGAAGCUGCUAUGGACAUUUAUGUCAGGUUUUUGAAUGACUGUAAGUUUUUAUUUCUCUAGGAUAACUAUGCAGGAACAUGGGGUUGUAAAACGAAUCAUUGCCAUCCUUGU